rnacentral:rRNA from 1 species
GAUGAACGCUGGCGGCGUGCCUAAUACAUGCAAGUCGAGCGAACAGACGAGGAGCUUGCUCCUCUGACGUUAGCGGCGGACGGGUGAGUAACACGUGGAUAACCUACCUAUAAGACUGGGAUAACUUCGGGAAACCGGAGCUAAUACCGGAUAAUAUAUUGAACCGCAUGGUUCAAUAGUGAAAGACGGUUUUGCUGUCACUUAUAGAUGGAUCCGCGCCGCAUUAGCUAGUUGGUAAGGUAACGGCUUACCAAGGCAACGAUGCGUAGCCGACCUGAGAGGGUGAUCCGCCACACUGGAACUGAGACACGGUCCAGACUCCUACGGGAGGCAGCAGUAGGGAAUUUUCCGGAAUGGGCGAAAGCCUGACGGAGCAACGCCGCGUGAGUGAUGAAGGUCUUCGGAUCGUAAAACUCUGUUAUUAGGGAAGAACAAAUGUGUAAGUAACUAUGCACGUCUUGACGGUACCUAAUCAGAAAGCCACGGCUAACUACGUG